rnacentral:lncRNA from 1 species
AGUAGAUUGAGAGUUAUAUAAUUAAGAAUUAUGGCAUGUAUUAAGAUUUAUGGCAUGUAUAAUUAUUAUGUUUGUUAGAGCUUAUGUGAUUGUAAAUAUAAUUGAAACAUGUAAUUAUUUUGGUGUAAGUAGUUGGAGAUAAGAAUAAUACUUAUGAAAUGAUUGAAGAUGAAAUAGUUUACUAUAGUUGGUAUGAUUAGGUCAUGAAAAACUUGAUAUAGAUUCUGA